GACGAACGCUGGCGGCGUGCUUAACACAUGCAAGUCGAGCGGUAAGGCCCUUUCGGGGGUACACGAGCGGCGAACGGGUGAGUAACACGUGGGUGACCUGCCCUCAGCUCUGGGAUAAGCCUGGGAAACCGGGUCUAAUACUGGAUAUGACUCCAUGACGCAUGUUGUGGGGUGGAAAGCCUUGUGCGGCUGAGGAUGGGCCCGCGGCCUAUCAGCUUGUUGGUGGGGUGAUGG
rnacentral:rRNA from 1 species